GUUUGCAAAAUCACAAUAAUACAUGCUACAACGUAUCAAAAAGUUUGUCAGUUCACUUUGCAUUCAAAUUGCCUGGGGAAAUUCUGGGUCCUAUUCUCAGUUUUUUUUAAACUUACCUGAUGAUCCACAGCCGGCAGAGUUGCCAGAGCUACUAGGAAAUCAUUGCUGAUUUUUCCAGCUGAGCAGAUACCCCACUUGGUUGCCAUAACUAUUUAAAAAAAAUAAAAUUAAGAUGUUUCAUGUAUUUUUUUGAGGGCUGAUCUUUGGAGUCACAGGGAAAGACAGUCAGUGUUUGAAACAAGUGCUUUAAUAGGACGGUGAGGGGGGCG